GAUGAACGCUGGCGGCGUGCCUAAUACAUGCAAGUAGAACGCUGAAGGAAGGAGCUUGCUCUUUCCGGAUGAGUUGCGAACGGGUGAGUAACGCGUAGGUAACCUGCCUGGUAGCGGGGGAUAACUAUUGGAAACGAUAGCUAAUACCGCAUAACAGUAGAUAUUGCAUGAUAUCUGCUUGAAAGGGGCAAUUGCUCCACUACCAGAUGGACCUGCGUUGUAUUAGCUAGUUGGUGAGGUAACGGCUCACCAAGGCGACGAUACAUAGCCGACCUGAGAGGGUGAUCGGCCACACUGGGACUGAGACACGGCCCAGACUCCUACGGGAGGCAGCAGUAGGGAAUCUUCGGCAAUGGACGGAAGUCUGACCGAUCAACGCCGCGUGAGUGAAGAAGGUUUUCGGAUCGUAUAGCUCUGUUGUGAUAGAAGAACGAGUGUGAGAUUGGAAAGUUCACACUGUGACGGUAUCUUACCAGAAAGGGACGGCUUACUACGUGUCAGCUGCCGCGGGAUUCGUAGGUCCCUAGCGUUUUCCUGAUUAUGGGGCGUAAGCGAGCUCGUGCUUUUGUUGUAGUUUAUGUUAUGGGUGGGCUUGCCAUGGUAUGCUUGGUACUGUGUAUCUUGAUUCAGAGUUGAGAUUGAAAUCCUGUGUUGUGUGAUGUGCUUUUGUUUGUUGUACUGUUGUGGUGUGUGUCGUGGUUGUGUUUGUGUGGUGUGUGUGGUUGUGAUGAUUGUGGUGUUGGUGUGUUGUAGGUGUGAAACAUGAGUGUAAUGUGUGGUGUGUGUGUCUCUGUCUGUGUGCUUUGUGUGCGUUAAAUGAAACAUGUGUGCUGUGAUGUAUGUGUGUUGUGUGUGAUGUCCCGUGCCCCUCUCUCCUUGUCGUGUGCUGUGUGUGGUGUGACCAGUAG
rnacentral:rRNA from 1 species